rnacentral:rRNA from 1 species
AUUGAACGCUGGCGGCAGGCCUAACACAUGCAAGUCGAGCGAGCGGCGGCCGGGUGAGUAAUGCCUGGGAAUUGCCCAGUCGAGGGGUAUACCAGGUGGAAACGACUGAUAAUACCCCAUCCGAUUCACUUGCCCAGGUGUGCUUGUCUAGUUGGUGAGGUAAUGGCGCACGAAGGACACGCUCCCUAGCUGGUCUGAGAGGAUGAUCAGCCACACUGGAACUGAGACACGGUCCAGACUCCGACGGGAGGCAGCAGUGGGGAAUAUUGCACAAUGGGGGAAACCCUGAGGCAGCCAUGCCGCGUGUGUGAAGAAGGCCUUCGGGUUGUAAAGCACUUUCAGCGAGGAGGCGUUACUCGCAGAAGAAGCACCGGCUAACUCCGUGCCAGCAGCCGCGGUAAUUC